GAAAGGACCCCGCCAGCCCUGGGAGCACAGGUGAAAGCAAUUCAGCUGUGUGAUUGGAAGCAGUGGAGCCUUGCUGCACCUCUCUUAGACCUCAUUUAAGGGCUGAUUGUGAUUGUGGUAGGUUUUUUUUCCUGGAGAUCCCCCUUGAUGAAGCUUUCCUCUGAGAUCUUCUGAUAUAGUUGUUGUCAGUGUCUCCUCCAGAAGACAUCACUUACAGUCUCUAUGCCCUGUGGAAUUCUGGAGAGUGCCUGCUUUCAUUGGAGUCUUCACAAAGCACACACAACAGGAUGGGAAAAGCUACUGAUCCACAUCUCCCAUUUUAACCUGGCAAUUUGGAUGCUUUCUUCAAAACACUAGGGAGCAAACUGUUCUGUGCCUUCAUUUGAAAUGCACUCAUUUCCUCGAGUAUGUUACCUUGUAUGUGGCCUGUGAUUGCUUCAUCUCUGUUCAUCUCUCAGACUAUUAGUGUCUGUACAAUCAACAAGCAUACAGUUAGCAGAGUGGCAUGGUUAGGAUGGUAUUUUACAGAUUGCAUAAUUAGAAAAAUUAUCACAGUGAAAAGAGAUAAUCGAAGGUAAAUGAAAUGCUCACCCAUGUCUUAGGCUCACAGUAAAAACCAAAACUCCAAAGGGAGCAAUCUCCAGAAAGAGAUCCUUCCCUAGUGGCAGUCACUCCUUAAAUGGGGUCUAGGAAAGGAGCAGCCAGGCUCCACCCCUUC